GACUAAACCAUACACGAAAUGCAUUGUGGCCCGGAUGUAAGAUGGCGGCUGCUGUUUUCUAUGUGAAAUCUAUGUAGAUGACCGUGAAUGAAGAAAGCGUCAUAAUUUAGCAACCUGUGCUGCCAGCUGCACUUACCUGACGCCAGUUUUAAUGGUAAUGCAUGCAAGGAAACUUCCAAGACUCAAUGAUGGGUAUGGUGAUAAAAAGGAAACCCAUCUGUAUCAGGGCAUGCAGUACCCAUAUACAAUCACCAGUCGCUGUGAAAAGCUGCGAAGCUCCCCCGAUGACGACAGGACAAGAGAUGACAGCCCCAGAAGUCGUCAUAGUCCCCGAUAUCAGAACAAGACCACUUAUAUUGAAAGAACUAAGGAAAAACUGGAAAGAGGCUCCACUGACUCACCUACAUCAGAUAGGAGACUCAACCAUUAUUCAUAUACCAGUAACAAUAAAAAUAGCAGUAAUCACCAAAAUCAUGAUAAAAAUCAUAAAAAUGAUAAGGAUAUUAAAGAACAGAAAGAAAAAGACCAUAAAGCAGAGGUACAAAAGUCCGCAGUGCGGGUGUUUGGUGAUUGGUCAGAACACAUUAGCUCUUCGGGUAAAAAGUACUAUUAUAAUUGUAAGACAGAAGUAUCACAGUGGGAAAAACCUAAAGAAUGGCAUGAUAUGCCGAACAAGGGAACAGAUAACAAGUUACAAGAAAAUAAAGCUCCAAGCAAGCACAAUGCCAAUUUACAUAGUAAAUCAUUUCCAGCCUCAGAUGACAGAAUCAAACAUUCCAGUGUUGGAGAAAAAUUUGAUAAACACCAUAAGGUCAGUUUACACCAAUCAUCAAAAACAUCAGACAGAUCAUUAUCUGAGAAAAUUAAAACUGGACCGCCUAAAGAUUUGCAAGAUGUUGUUGCACAGAGGACUAGCCAGUGGGUUCAAAAAGGCGGACAGUUGCAAGAGACAUCAAUCAAGGAUAAUUUUCGCAAGGAUAAUACUCAUGUUCAUAAUUUCGAUAAUACAGGAGUUAAGAGACAACGACGGGACAGUGAAGGUAGUAGAUCUCUUGGACCUAGCACACCAAGGAAACUGGAAGAACUUAACAGAGAAACCUCAAUAACAAAAGUAAAAGCAUUACAAACUUUACAGAAAUUACAAGAGGCCAUAUCUAGGCAGCUGUCCAUGAGUACACAGCAUACCACAGUUUUAUCUCCCAAAAUAGUAAUUCCUCAUGCUGAUACCUCACCUCAACAGUCUCUGAAAUCACCAACACUGAGUACAGAUAGCUCACAUCUCCCUCCAGUGAAUGUGAAUCCACCACCACAUGAAGAAGAAUCGGGGAAGGAAAGUCCACGGUCAGAAAGAAGUGAGAAAACUGAAAGUCCUACUCCAAGUACCAGCAGUUCAAAAGAGCUACCUGUAGGACCAAGUGCACUCUCAGCUGUUUCUGAAAAGAAAGACUUGUCAGUAGAACUCCCACCUUCACUUAGCAAUUACUGUAAUGACAAAUUAAUUGGUCAUGUACAAGGCUGGCAGACAGAACAUGCAGAGAGACAGGCCAAACGCUAUUGGGAAGAAGGUCUAACGGUUGGCAGCCUGGAAUGUAGCCAAGUGUCAGUUGAAUUAAAACGAGCUAGAUCAUUAGUUAGGAUAGCUGAAAUACAGUCCACUCUACAUGAACAAAGGAUUUUGUUUUUAGCACAACAGAUAAAAGAAUUAGAGAACUUAAAAAGUCAGCCUCCCUCCUAUUUGUCCUCAGAUUAGCCAAGUGGGAACAGGCUUUUGGUUGUACUUGUCUUUCAUUGUGUGCCUGUAUUUCAUGAGCAUUCAAUUUCUCAUCAAAUCAAAAACUACACGAGUUUGACUUUGUCUUCUGAAAUCUGUCAGUUAUUGGAAGUGAGACUCUUGCAAGAUGCAUUCUGGCUAAGAUGGAUAAUUAAUUUCAGCUCCAAUUCAUGACCAGUACUUAUUUCAUCAGUUUUUGAGUGAAGGUCUGUUAGCAACAAGGAUGUGAACAGAACGAAAUAACGU
rnacentral:misc_RNA from 1 species